rnacentral:rRNA from 1 species
UACGGAAGGGUGCAAACGUUGCUCGGAAUUAUUGGGCGUAAAGCGCACGUAGGCGGCUCCGCAAGUCGGAUGUGAAAUCCCUCGGCUCAACCAAGGAAGUGCAUCCGAAACUGCAGAGCUUGAGUACCAAAGAGGAUCGCGGAAUUCCCGGUGUAGAGGUGAAAUUCGAUAGAUAUCAGGAGGAACACCUGUGGUGUAGACGGCUUUCUGGACCAUAGCUGACGCUGAGACACGAAAGCGUGGGUAGCAAACAGG